rnacentral:rRNA from 1 species
AUUGAACGCUGGCGGCAGGCCUAACACAUGCAAGUCGAGCGAGCGGCGGACGGGUGAGUAAUGUAUGGGGACUGCCCGAUAGAGGGGGAUAACUACUGGAAACGGUAGCUAAUACCGCAUACUAUCGGAUAACCCAUAUGGGAUUAGCUAGUAGGUGAGGUAAUGGCUCACCUAGGCGACGAUCCCUAGCUGGUCUGAGAGGAUGAUCAGCCACAUUGGGACUGAGACACGGACCAGACGCCUACGGAGUCAGCAGUGGGGAAUAUUGCACAAUGGGCGGAAGCAUGAUGCGGCCAUGCCGCGUGAAUGAAGGAGGCCAUAGGGUUGUAAAGUACUUUCAGUCGGGAGGCGUUACGGACAGAAGAAGCACCGGCUAACUCCGUGCCAGCCGCCGCGAUAAGAC